AAAUUUCACCUUUAAUUUUAAUAACAUUUUUAUAUAAUUUUUUUUUAAAUUAAAUUAAAAGGGGAAAAAUUCUAUUUGUUUAACCGCUGCUGCUGGCACAAAUUUAGCUAGAAUUUAUUUCUAACUCUCAAUAAUUUUUAAUUAUUAAAUAAAUUAAAUUUUCUAUUUACAUUUUUUAAAUAUUAUAUAAAAAAGUUAGGAAAAUUUCCCAGUAACCAAACCAAAUUU
rnacentral:rRNA from 1 species